ensembl:lncRNA
GUUUUUACGAGUCUGAAUAAUGCAACUUUUUAAAAUAAUCAUAUUUCAUUAUGUAACACCUGCUAAGUAUAGUUAGGCUGGGCUUAUAGACUAGAUUCGAGAGGAGUAAAAUAAAUUUGAGAGAAUUGAAUGUUGAACAGCUGGCAGGUUUAUUACAGUGUUACAAUGGUGCAAUAAACCAAUGUAAACAACAAAUAAAAUUAACAGAGAAGAUUAACAGAGAAAAGCGCUUUUUUGAAAAUAAAAGCAAAAAUAAAAUAAAAUGAGUAGUCUCAUCAGACCUGACUCCUGAUGAAGAGGAUAUUGCGAGUUUGAGUUCCUCCAAAGAACAAUCCGUAUGGAGUAAUGGGUUUUGUUCUUGCUUAUCUGAAAUCCUGUGGUUUAAAGUAAUUCAGUAUGUAGAUCUACUCCUGCAUCCAGAACAGCUGGCCACACUGCUUUUGGAUUCGCCAAGAGUUUCACAGGGUCUAGCUCACCAUCCGUAUCCAGAACCAACUUCAGGAUCCAGGAUCACAAAAAAUAGUCUGCAUAUACAGAAAAGAGCAGUGGCGGAGCGGGGGGGUGGCUUACUGGGCUUAAGCCCGGGUUGUUUUUUCAGAAGGGUCUUUUGGAGUGUAAUUUUUUCAUAGUUAGAUGCCUGGCUGACAACUGUAUAAAACAAAAACUACACACAAUAUUCGAAGCACAUAGUGCACACUGUGGGAAUUUACGACUGUGCGUAAAUCCCCCCUAAUAUUGGUAUGAUCCGAGCUCAGGCACUAAGCGACUGAGCGAGGGGGCGGGGGUAGCUGCUGCCUGCGAGUGCGCUGUUGGAGAAACGGAGCCAGGCAGACAGAGGAGAACUGAAGUUAGAGUAAACUUGUUUUGUUUUGGAUAAAUAAAUAUUGAAAUAUCUUUUGAAUUAGUUAAAUGUCAGAAUAAAGAGAGACAGAGCUGUUUUUAUCACUUUCAUCAAAUUUAGGAGUACAUAUACACUAAGUUUAUUGUUAAUUAAUAAGAAAACUCCAGACGAUUCCAUUCUGAGCUUAAGAAGCUUCUGAUAGGUUAGUAGAGUCCAUGUGAGUAAAUUGGUGGCACACCUGUGGAUGCAUAUAAGGCAAAACACAGAGCCUGUUUCUUUGAAAUGGGAAAAUCAAGAGAUAUCAACCAAAACACCAGGAAAAGAAUUUUCCAUAAGUGUGGCUCAAUUUUGAAUACAAUUUGGUGCCAUUUACAAUUAAGAAAUACAGAUAGUUUCUCUCUUUACUCUUAAAGUUAAUAAAUAUGUUUUUUAUAUUUAUCAAUCUAAAAAAAAGAAACAUUUAGUCUGAUUUGAUGUUACAAUUAAAAACGUGUUUUUGUUUUUAUCUGAAGAGUGUGUAAAUAUCUGGUUUCAACUGUAUAUUUGAUGAUUGUCAGCACAAAGAUGGAGAGAGAGGAACAGAGAGGGAGAGAGAGAGGAACAGAGAGGGGGAUGGAGAAUGAGGACAGAACAGAGAUGGAACAAGAGCAGGUGAGACAGACCUGUUAGUUACAUGGUUGUUUACCAAAAGUAUCACCGUAUCAUAGGUACUCAUGUAUCUCGUACCUAGUGUUUCUUUUUAGGUUUGUUAUUUUUCAAAUUCUAUAUUUAUUAAGUUAUGCAGGUUUGUU